UGCCGGCCUCUGCGUCCCUGAGACCCUUUAACCUGUGAGGACGUCCAGGGUCACAGGUGAGGUUCUUGGGAGCCUGGCGUCCGGCC
ensembl:miRNA